rnacentral:rRNA from 1 species
AGACAGCAGUCGCCACGGUAAUACGGAGGAUCCAAGCGUUAUCCGGAAUCAUUGGGUUUAAAGGGUCCGUAGGCGGUCUUGUAAGUCAGUGGUGAAAGCCCAUCGCUCAACGGUGGAACGGCCAUUGAUACUGCAGGACUUGAAUUAUUGGGAAGUAACUAGAAUAUGUAGUGUAGCGGUGAAAUGCUUAGAGAUUACAUGGAAUACCAAUUGCGAAGGCAGGUUACUACCAAUUGAUUGACGCUGAUGGACGAAAGCGUGGGUAGCGAACAGGAUUAGAUACCCGAGUAGUCCCUGUCUCUUAUAC